AGCUGAGUUUGAUCCUGGCUCAGGACGAACGCUGGCGGCGUGCCUAAUACAUGCAAGUCGAGCGAGCUUGCCUAGAUGAUUUCAGUGCUUGCACUGAAAGAAACUAGAUACAAGCGAGCGGCGGACGGGUGAGUAACACGUGGGUAACCUGCCCAAGAGACUGGGAUAACACCUGGAAACAGAUGCUAAUACCGGAUAACAACACUAGACGCAUGUCUAGAGUUUAAAAGAUGGUUCUGCUAUCACUCUUGGAUGGACCUGCGGUGCAUUAGCUAGUUGGUAAGGUAACGGCUUACCAAGGCAAUGAUGCAUAGCCGAGUUGAGAGACUGAUCGGCCACAUU
rnacentral:rRNA from 1 species